rnacentral:lncRNA from 1 species
ACUCUUGUCAUCCUUCAUGUUCCACUUAAUGACCAUUUAAUCGAGUAGUACACAUGGCCUAUAGUUCAAGACACUGCAUGAAAUAAAUUAAACCUAACUUAAAAAUUAUAACAUCCAAUAUAACUCAAACCAAAAGAAAAGACAACUUAUUAUCAAAAUAUCCAUAACCCACUACGCAAUUGGCUUACCAAAAUAGACC